rnacentral:lncRNA from 1 species
GGCAGAGCCAGGCCCUCCUGCUCCAGCAGGGCUGAGCGGCUGGAAGUGUGUAAUCUUCGGAAAGCUGUGACUGCGACCUGGAGUUGCGUAAGAAAUAAUUACAGAAUCCAGCCAGGGCUUGCUUCUUGCCACAGGCUCCAGGCUUUUACCCCCGACAUGUGUUCUGGUGAAUGGAGUGAGAUGAGGACUGGGUUUGAGAAGAUUUUGUUGGCUCCACAUGGUUUUGCAAAUCAACCUGCUGCUCCAGUGAUGACAUGCUGCUGAGGGAAGGUUUGGUGGUUCCUGGGAAGUUGAAAGGAUCUGGGCAAGCUUUUUAUUGCUGACUGUGUGCAACUGCCGCAAGGGGUCAAAAGUGCUUGGUUUGCACAACAUCUCCCCGGCAUUCUUACACGUGUGGUUAUGGAAUCAGGGUGCAGGGAAGGGUCAUGGAGCAGAGGGAAUUGCAUGUGCUCGAUCUUUUUCACAUUGGAGCUGCUUUCUGAAACCCGGCACGGGGAAGGUGAGGGUGCUGGAUAGUUUGGGGGGGCCACAGAGUCCUGUGGGUGUUAAAUCUCGGUCCCCCUCUGGGGACUUGUCCUUGCAGGGUGCUCAUCCAGGCCUUAAAAGUUGGCAGCAUCCCCCAGGAACUACCCUGUGAACAAAUCCAGGCUUUCGGAAGCACGUGAUUCUGCAGAAAUGCCACAUUCUCUUCCACAUGGGCUGUGGGCUCUGAGUCCCCCUUUGCUUCCUCGGCCUAUGUACCUGCUGAAGAAGACAGUUGUGUCGUGUACAUGCAACCUAAGGAGGUAACCUUUUACCCAGCCUGAGACUUCAGAGGGUAUUCAUAUUGGGGACCAGCAGCCCGUGAUGUUUGUCCCCCAGAGAGGGGGAGAGAGCUGCUGCCUGCAGAGUGGCUGCUCCUGCUUUGCACGGCCCCUGGCUUCUGCAUCCCUCCAUCCUCCAGCUGGGCACAGAGGUUGCCAAAAGGGCCAGUAGGAGGAGAAGGCUUCAUGGAGGACGGGGGCAAGAGCGGGCCGACCAUGCUGGCUUCCUCGCCUUGUGUCUGGCUGACUGCACAGGCCUGAGGAGGCUGUGUGUAAGUUGGCAAAUGACAGGAAGAGCAUGUGCUUCUAAUCACCCACCCAUCUUAAUAACGUCGAACAGAUACAGUGCAGAAACUAUUGCACAACCACCAGCAUUUCAUUACAUCAGAAUCCUUGCCAAUUUGAAAGAGGUCCUUGAAUCCAGGGAGAGUUACAUCUUUACGUUUUUGAUCACGAUCCUCUUGGAAGAUACUUAUUAGGGCCAUUUGUUGAUGACAAUAUUAAGAAUUAGCAAAUAUCUUCUUAAAUAUAACAAAAAUUGAAUUGUUUCAUUAGAGAACUAUAAAGUCUGUUAUUUAAGAGGAAACUGUUGUGCUGUUCAAAAGCAGGAAAGAAUUGUUGAAGGACUCUUCCUGGUCUCCUUUCUAGAACUGAGGCAACUCAGCUAUUGUAGUCAAAAGAAUUUUUAAAAAAUUAGUAAAGAGAAAAGCAGAAUCUUCGUACAUUGGUUGCCAACCAAGUCUCCUAAUACCUAGGAAGUUAUCAGUCAUGUCAAUGCAUUGAAUUUAGAUUUUUUAAGCUAAAAAAGGAAAGUGAAUUAUUCUAAGAAGUUCUCCUUUCUCCUCAAUAUGGGAAAAAGGCCAUUUUUGUUGUUUGGGGCCUGUUGUGGGAAAACAGGAGGGUUGUUUGAUGAGGAGUCCCCACCUGUAAGUGUGUGUCACCAGACAGCAGGAACUUCUGGGUCAUCCCAGGUUCCCUGCAGACCCCUCUUUCUUUUUCUUUCUUUCUUUCUCUUU